rnacentral:lncRNA from 1 species
UUGGAGAUAAGUGUUGCUAGAAUCCAAAUGGCUAAUCAGGAAGUCAAGGGGAAAGCAGAAGACCAGGCUAAGAGACAUGCUCUUAUGGUGAAGCGUUUUGAGAUAGACACCGCUUAUUAUUGCAAGAUCAGCCAAGCAUUAGAGUCAUCUAUGAAGGAGCACGACAUUACCAAGGAGAAGUUGGCUAGAGCUUUGAAGGUCAUUG